AGGGGUAUCGCCAAGCGGUAAGGCAACGGACUCUGACUCCGUCAUUACGAAAGUUCGAAUCUUUCUACCCCUGCCA
rnacentral:tRNA from 1 species